rnacentral:tRNA from 1 species
CAGAAAAUAGUUUAAAUAAAAUAUUAAUUUUGGAGAUUAAUGAUAAGAGGUUUCUUUUUUCUGA